GGAGUUUUAUCAGCAGAUCAGAGGAGCACACUCAGAUCCUGUUUUCACAGCUGUGAACGCAUCAGGCAGAUUGCAAAGGUCGGGGCUGAGGAAUCUUCCAUAGGUGGCAGCAUUACUGCAGGAUUUUAGGGAGAAAUCCAGAUGAGCAGGAUGAUACUUCAGCAUCGGCAGGAAUCUCCCUUAUGGGAAAAACCUUCUAGGAAAUAAUUACUUUAUUUCUGUAGUGCUGUCACACAGGCCAGGCUGCCAUAUAAACCUAGACAAUGAAUAUUAAAAUCCAGUUAUGAAAUGCAGCCACUUCUGGGGUAGGUUUUGAAAUCUUUUUGGUGGAAAGGAUUACAGCAUGGAUCAAAAAGAAACUGAUCCUAUAGUUAUGUUUUACAGAAAUUAAGGAGGCAGAAUAAGGGGGGGGUUACCCCAAAACAGAGGCUCAUUCAUAAGGACACUGGUACAGAAAUGUCCCAGAGGAAACUGCCUGGCAUCUCCCUGCUGCUGUGUCACAGCUGCCUCACCCUCUUAUGCUUUUGGUCCCCUCUCCUGGCUGAUUUCAUCUCCAAAAAUAAGGAGGAAAAGGCAAAAGUAUAAACCAAUCCUUUUAGAGGAGUCUGAACACAUUUCCUGUUCUACAAACCACAUUGACAAUGGAAACUUAGAACAGAAAUUAUCCAGGAUUUGUGAAAACCCACCUCAAACCUCCUGUCACAGUCAACACUGUACCCACUCCAAAUGUUAACCUUCAAAGACAAAUACCCUGAGUUGCCCUGAAGACCUUGGAAGUGUUCCUGGAUGACACUAAAUUCCACACAGUGAACACAAAUGAGAGGGAUCCAACCAAGUUUGGCCAGGGUUUCUUUUUGAAAGGAUCCAAAACAAAUUUCAGAGUUGGGGGAUGAGGGGUGUUCCUGUUUCAAUUUCAAUUUGAAGCAUUUUGGGGCUCCUACCUAAAAAAAA